AAGCAAACCUGAGAGAGAGGGGUAACUCCAGCCUGUUUCAGAAAGAGAGGUGACUUAACAUCAGAGUCAGUUACUAUGGCAACUGAGCCUGUGAACCUAACCUG